CCCACACGGCCAUAUUUCCAUGUUACAGCGUCUGUUUACGGAAAACAGAGUCGACCAAUUGUGCUAAUUAGCUAUCUGCGUCUCCGAACACCUGUGUAAACGGAAGACGGACGCCACAAACUUGUCACUGAAAAAUACUGCUGGCUGCAACUGUGUUAAAACCAGUUAAAACAGUGUACAAUUCCGUGCAAAAAAAUAAUGGAGUUUUCUAUGGAGCAUGCGCAAUGGGGCGGCGAGGGACUAUUGUACCCACAAUGCAACCGGACCUUUGUAGUGGUAGCUGACGCGGCCCCCCAAAUGAAGAAUAAACUGGCCAUGGUUCUCUGUUCUUCAACUGGGCUAGGGAAAAAUAGGCUUUUGUAGAAUGUCAUGUUUUCUUCCAUGGAUUAGCUACCUCUACUACCAUCAGUCUUUCACAAUACAAUACUGUACUUUUUCUUAAUAUAUUAUGUAGAUCCUCUCCUUAUAUAUAAACUACAAGUUUUUCUUUAUGUUUAAAAUGUUCUUUAACCUGGCAGUACAAUAAAGAUAAACAUAGCCUA